rnacentral:rRNA from 1 species
AUUGAACGCUGGCGGCAUGCUUUACACAUGCAAGUCGAACGGUAACAGGCCGCAAGGUGCUGACGAGUGGCGAACGGGUGAGUAAUGCAUCGGAACGUGCCCAGUCGUGGGGGAUAACUACUCGUAAGAGUAGCUAAUACCGCAUACGAUCUAUGGAUGAAAGCGAGGGACCGUAAGGCCUCGCGCGAUUGGAGCGGCCGAUGUCCGAUUAGGUAGUUGGUGGGGUAAAGGCUCACCAAGCCAACGAUCUGUAGCUGGUCUGAGAGGACGACCAGCCACACUGGGACUGAGACACGGCCCAGACUCCUACGGGAGGCAGCAGUGGGGAAUUUUGGACAAUGGGCGCAAGCCUGAUCCAGCAAUGCCGCGUGCAGGAAGAAGGCCUUCGGGUUGUAAACUGCUUUUGUACGGAACGAAACGGCUCUGGUUAAUACCCGGGGCUAAUGACGGUACCGUAAGAAUAAGCACCGGCUAACUACGUG